AAAAUGUGGUGGGUGUGAACUGCCUCCCUGAGCUGGGAGCUGCCACUCACCCCCUGCCCCAUUUCUCCUGGCCUUGGUGUGCAGGUGCCAGGAACGAGAGUGAGGGGCAGCGCACAGAGGGACCACUGCUUUGGUGAAUGUGUGGGCAGAGACAAGGAAGAAACGUUGCCAACAGGCUUCGGGUCAAUGUCUAAGGAGAGUCUGUUCCUGGCUUCUGGGGACUCACGCUAGAGCACUGUGGGUAAGAGCGCUGCCUUUAGAACCAGACCGACCGAGUUUUUACUGUUAGGCCGAUCGCUUCCUCCCUGGGUCUCAGUUUACCACCCUGGGAUAGUGCUCGGGGCUGCUGUGUUGAACUGCCCCAGGGGCACCAUCAAAGCAGGGGGGGGGGGGGCGGGUUUGGAGGCCUGGUCGUGAAGUCUGAACGAGCUGACCCUUGUUAAGCGUUCAACCCAUGAGUGCACGUGGUCAGUGCCCCGUACACGCCAACUGCUGUGUGUGACGCAACAUGUCCGGGUGGCACUGGCCGGGGGCACUGAAGCUCUGGAGACGUGGGUGGAGAUCUAGACACGCAGGUGACAACUGACGCCUUGGGGCUGGGGGCGGUACCCAAGGAGAGAACGGGAAGGGACCGGUCCAGGGCAGGGCUCCAAGAAGCAGCAGAGGGCACAGGAAGCAUGUCAGGAAAGGCAGUGGGGGAAGGGCUGGAAAGAAGGGGAAAGGAACAGAGAGGCCCCCAGGGCGGGGGAGGGGGGAUGGGUCGUGGAGAGGAUGGAAGGGGCUGGGCACUCAAGAGAGAGGCACGUGGACUUAUGCUUAGGGACCACAUGGUCUUUGGUGACUCAGAGGAGGACAGUUUCAGUGAAGCCAGGGGGCAGAGAUCGAGGCAUGACUGGGACGAGAGGCAGUGGGGACAGCCCACAUAGUUGGACUGUGAGUGUGAGGACAGAAAGGGGCGGUCCCUAGGAAGUACGUGGGAUUGGGAAAGACAUGGCUAGAUGGAGGGGCGGGUGGGUGGAUAGACAGACAGACUUCUAGUUCCUGUCCCUGAGCAGUGGGGUUUCCCCUAGUUGUACUCGGAGAGAAUAUUCAAGAGUAGAACACCUUAUAGGCAAAGGAGGAGCUGAGGGAAAAGUGAAGGCAGAGUUGGGGGCGCUGCGUGGACUGGGUAAUGCUAGAUUCUAUGGAAAGAAGAAAGAGAAGAAUCUAGGGCAGAGGGGAGAGGUGGGAGAUGCCAGUGACUUGGACCAGAUGUGCCCACGGAGAAGGGGUCUUGGCCUGGUCUUGAACAGUCAGGCUGUUCUAGGAGGGCAACGGCCGUGAGCCUCCCUCCACAUGAAGACAGGUCUCGAGCUGGGCAGGAGGCGAAGGCUAGGCCAGCUGUCUCAGAGCUGUGUCAGCCCCAGCAGAGCGAGCUAGCCAAGCUAGAACCAGAAUUUUGCACUCUCGGAGUGGUCUUGUGGUCAUAUUCCCUGUGUUUCCCGAGCAUAUUUCCCUUGUCUAACCACCUAGAAGUCUGCUAAGUCGUGCUGAUUGUUCUCAUCUUCCCUCCCUUGCGUUCAGUGGAGUCAAAGGAAGCUUCCUGCCAACUCGGAGAAUUAGCCAGAAGUAGUACACCCCCGGGACCAGGGACAUUUUUCAACGAAGAGGAACAUGGCAUAGGACAAGAAGCAAAAGAAAAGAAAGCCCCACUUUGGGACCAGGAGGAAUCACGGGAAGAUCAUUUGCAGUGGUGGUUCUCAACCGGGGCGAUGGGGCGGGACAUUUGGCAAGGCUCGGAGACCGGUGGGGGUUGCCACUGGCAUCGAGUGGGUAGGAGCCAGGGAUGCCGCUCGACAUCCCACCAUUCACAGUCCAGCCCCUUAUACCAAAAACCGGCCCCGAAUGUCCACAGUGAUGAGUUUGAGAAACCUUGGUUUAGAGGAAACAAAUUAAAUCAGAGCUACCUGGGUUUGUGAAAAAGAACAAACGCGAUGGAGAACAAAUUUAAGAUUCACGUGAGCGGAAGGAAUAGUCUUGGUGCGUAUAAACAUGGGGUCUGGGCAACUGUUUCUAGGCUAGAAGUAGGCGGUGGCCUGUUCGGGCAAAAACUGUCAUCUUUGCGGCCCCCGCGUUGCCAGGCAUGGGCUUGAAGCGCAUCACAUACUCAGCAAUGUUUGGUUCUCUCCUGGGGGGCGGGGGGGCUGGGGGGAGGGGGGGCGGGGAGGGAGUAACCUUCUGCAAAGUGUUACCCAACACUUCCAGGGACACGCCAGGCUCUGGGCUGGGCCACAGUGAUGCAGGAGACCGGGAGCCUCCAGUCCACCAGGGACAGAGACACGAAGGACCAACCGCAAUUCAGAGACGUUAUUGCCACAGAAAACGAAGUGCAUUGACUUCUGACCCAGAGAGUGCAAGGGGGACCUCUCCGUGGCAAGGACGCCUGGCCUGGGCUCUGGAGGAGGCCCAGGCGUGAUGCCAGUGUUUUUGCCCUCUCCUCCUUCUCAGGACCCAAAGUUUCCACCUUCUUCCACUGAGUAGAGCCAACAAUGGGUAGAAGAUGAGAAGGCAAAUAGACCCAUGAAGGGCCUGACUGGUCAGCUGAUCGGGGAGACUCUUGGUAAUCGCCUAUUCAGCCCUCUCCUUCCAAGAUAAGGGGCCUAAUCCCCAGGUGGCUUCAUGAGGCCGUCACAAGGAACAGUGCUGACUGUAAACCUAUACCUCUGUCCUGGAAGAACCCAAGAGUCACGGUGCUCUGUGACCUGCUUCCAAGGGAUCCGAUUGUGCCACAAGAACAUCGGCGGGGAGCUGGAGACAGCAGGUGGCAGGCCCGUGAGAGCCGCCCUCCUGAAACACCCUUUGCCUUUUCUCAUCUCCAGAUGGCUAAGAUGGGACAUGACCAGAUAUG